AGCGAACAUUGGCGGUAGGCUUAACACAUGCAAGUCGAGCGAGGCGUAAUAGUCGAGCGGCGAACGGGUGAGUAAUACAUGGGAAUCUACCUUGGAGUGGGGGAUAACAGCCAGAAAUGGCUGCUAAUACCGCAUAAUCCCGAGAGGGGAAAGCGCGCUGCGCUCCAAGAUGAGCCCAUGGCUGAUUAGCUAGUUGGUGGGGUAAAGGCCUACCAAGUCGACGAUCAGUAGCUGGUCUGAGAGGAUGAGCAGCCACACUGGGACUGAGACACGGUCCAGACUCCUACGGGAGUCAGCAGUGGGGAACCGUGCGCAAUGGGGGCAACCCUGACGCAGCCAUACCGCGUGUGCGAUGAAGGUCUUCGGAUUGUAAAGCACUUGCAGUAGGGACGACGAUGACGGUACCUACAGAAGAAGUCACGGCUAACUUCGUGCCAGCCGCCGCCGUAA
rnacentral:rRNA from 1 species